GCUUUAUAUGUGUUGUUAAAAUGAGCCGCAAAAUACAAAUUAAAAAAAAAACUUGCUGUUUUAAAUGUGAUAAAAGAAAAAAAAAGCAUUUUAUUUGCUAGUUUUAAAAACAACAGAAUAAGUUAACAAAUUAGAUAAACAGGCAGCAUGGGAGGAUGUGUUAUAAAAAGUCCAAUCCCUACAACUGGCGUCAGCACAAAAAACAUGGACCUAUGCAAGGGACAGUUUGUUUGGGCUCUGGAAGAGCCGGACAAUGAGUAAAAGGGAUAACGCCCGAAAUACUGGAUCCGGAGGUGGGAAGGAGAAGGUAAUGGAUGAAGCUGACUUGGCCAUACUCGAUAUUCUGGAAUCAGACUCAGCUGUGGUAGAUGGUUUGAAUUUGCCAGAAAGUUAUGGCAACUCAGAAAAUCUACCGUCAGCUGAGAAUGAUUCCAGAAUAUCUAUUUCAGAAGAAACAAUUGCCAAUCCACCUCUAAACCCAAGAAAGAGGAAGCGCUCUACCAAGUUUCCAAGUGAAACUUUGGAUAGAGAGAAAAAAUGCCGGAUGGAGCUCCUUGAGGUUGAGGUUUACUACCGGAAACUUCAAUG